GAUGAACGCUAGCGGCAGGCUUAAUACAUGCAAGUCGAGGGGUAACAUGGGUAGCAAUACCUGAUGACGACCGGCAAACGGGUGCGGAACACGUACGCAACCUUCCCAUAACUGGUGAAUAGCCUUCCGAAAGGGAGAUUAAUACACCGUAACAUAAUGAAGAGGCAUCUCUUUAUUAUUAUAGGCUUCGGCCGGUUUUGGAUGGGCGUGCGCCUGAUUAGGUAGUUGGCGGGGUAACGGCCCACCAAGCCUGCGAUCAGUAACUGGUGUGAGAGCACGACCAGUCACACGGGCACUGAGACACGGGCCCGACUCCUACGGGAGGCAGCAGUAAGGAAUAUUGGUCAAUGGACGAAAGUCUGAACCAGCCAUGCCGCGUGAAGGAUGAAGGCCCUCUGGGUUGUAAACUUCUUUUAUCUGGGACGAAAAAAGCUCAUUCUUGAGCACUUGACGGUACCAGAGGAAUAAGCACCGGCUAACUCCGUG
rnacentral:rRNA from 1 species